UACGAAGGGUGCAAGCGUUGCUCGGAAUUAUUGGGCUUAAAGCGCGCGUAGGCGGCUUGGCAAGUCGGAUGUGAAAUCCCUCGGCUCAACCAAGGAAGUGCAUCCGAAACUGCUGAGCUUGAGUACUUAAGAGGAUCGCGGAAUUCCCGGUGUAGAGGUGAAAUUCGUAGAUAUCGGGAGGAACACCAGUGGCGAAGGCGGCGAUCUGGGAAGAUACUGACGCUGAGGUGCGAAAGCGUGGGGAGCAAACAGG
rnacentral:rRNA from 1 species